rnacentral:lncRNA from 1 species
GGAGGUUGAAGCUCAAAAUACAACCCACCAAAAUUAUAGGUAGAUACCACAGUUAGGAUAAGGUAAUGUUUGAUGUCGUAUGCUGCAUACAUUCAAGGUGAAAACUUAAACUUAUUGGCAGCCAUCAGAAAAUUCUCUUAUUUCUAACUCAAGAACAUUCUAUGACUAACUUGAGCUUGCUUUUUAAGACAGAACGUUGUUUCCCAAGUGUGGCCAGGGAACUACUGGAAGGUUGCAUGUUGCGACUAGAAUGGUCGUCCAAAACAGAGAACAUGUUGGUUGACUGAAUAAGAGAG